UACGGGAGGCAGCAGUGGGGAAUAUUGCACAAUGGGCGCAAGCCUGAUGCAGCCAUGCCGCGUGUAUGAAGAAGGCCUUCGGGUUGUAAAGUACUUUCAGUCGUGAGGAAGGUGUUAAGGUUAAUAACCUUAGCAAUUGACGUUAGCGACAGAAGAAGCACCGGCUAACUCCGUGCCAGCAGCCGCGGUAAUACGGAGGGUGCGAGCGUUAAUCGGAAUUACUGGGCGUAAAGGGCACGCAGGCGGUUAAUUAAGUUGGAUGUGAAAUCCCCGGGCUUAACCUGGGAAUGGCAUUCAAGACUGGUUAGCUAGAGUCUUGUAGAGGGGGUAGAAUUCCAUGUGUAGCGGUGAAAUGCGUAGAGAUGUGGAGGAAUACCGGUGGCGAAGGCGGCCCCUGGACAAAGGCUGACGCUCAUGUGCGAAAGCGUGGGGAGCGAAACAGGGAUUAGAUACC
rnacentral:rRNA from 1 species